rfam:Triticum aestivum genome assembly, contig: Triticum_aestivum_CS42_TGACv1_scaffold_321005_4BL
AUUCUACUCCCUCUGUUGCACAAUACAUGCCUUCUAUUUGUCAAAAUAUAUAUGUAUCUAGACAUGUUUUAAUAUAUAGGCACAUCCAUUUUUGGACAAAUGGAAGUCAAGUAUUUUGGAACGGAGGGAGCACACA